rnacentral:lncRNA from 1 species
GAGACAAAGGAGCGCCGCCGCCUCUGCCGCCGCGACGGUCCGGGCCGCGGUCGCCCAGGUGAGCCGCCACCGGCCUGCGCACGCACUCCCAUCUUCGCCCGGACUCGCCGCCGUUCCCAGUGAGCUUCCGGGAGGCGCCGAGCGGAGCCACGGCGGCCUCCUCUCGCUCGCGGCCUCCGAGUCUCGGCCUUCGGGGCACUAGGGCCCAGCCGCUGUGCCACGGGAGAAUACAGGGUUGGGAGCACGGCCCACUGCCCCCCUACUCUUGGCGAACUGAGUUCCGCCGACCCCGCAACAGAUAAUCUGAGCUUCCCAGUAGCUCCCAGACGCGUUCUGGGCGGUGCUGGGCUCCGUAGUUAGGCGAGUGAGAGUGCGGAAGGCCGUGAGUACUGGGCCGUGUCGGGGCCUGUAAGCACCCGGAGUCACAUCAGAAGGCUUCGUUCGUUACCGAGACGCUAGGCUUGUAGCUUGGGUUUUUGUGGGGGAGUCUUGUGUAUAUUCUCUGCCCCACCUUCCUUUAUUCUUAAGGAACUGUUGUUUUAGUGGAUGAGUUAGUUACCUGCCUGCAUAGCAGAAAACGGGCGUCGAAGGGGAGUUUGUUUUCUUUCUAAAGGUAUUCAGGCUGUGAGUGAUCGCAGUCCUGCCCUCCUCUGGCUGUCUCUGCCACUGGAAACUUAACAAACAGCGUGGUAUACUUACUGAAGGAUCCUUAGGGCCUACAGUGUGCAUUCGAGUAAAAGAGGCCGCUUCGCCCUAUCCAAGCCAGCCGUAGUGCCUGGUACCCAUGUUCCCUCUGCCGAGGUGGGCGGAGAUAAGCAACCUUGCACAGGCUCUCUGACCGGUAAGUAGCUCUGAAGUAGGUGGUGUCGCCAGACAAAUACUGUACACUGUAGGAAGCCUGGAGUCAUAAGACCCAUCCCUGUAUGUCCUUCCUGUCUCUAGUAGUGGGGAGGGGAAUGGUUUUUUGGUUUGGUUUGGUUUAGUUUGGUCAUUGCAUCACAAAACUUUUAGCUCGUGAAGUGACUGUUUGCCUGGGAAGGCAAGUUGUGUUUAAGUGGCUUUUGGAGUGCUUGCGGGAGCAGCAGCACUGCCCCCCAAGUUUCUGCCUAGAUCAUUGCCAGGGUGCUCCUAGGGUUCCUUUUCCUCGACCGUGGGGCAAAAGGCCUUUAAGAGUUCUGAUAAGAGCCACCUCUCACUUCUCCCUGUUUUUGAGACAGGAUCUCUUGUAGCCAAGGCUAACCUUGAACUCUUGGUGAUUCCCUGGUUCUGUCUCCUGAGUGUCCAGGCAAGAGCAGUUGAGCUAGCUUCUCGGUUCUUCUCACUUAGGAUAGCUGCAGUUGGAUGCUAGGACAGAGUUCUCUGGGCACACAACUUUAUCCUGAAGUCAGUUACAGCUGUCCCAACAGCUUUGUGUGGCCCGGUGUCCAGGCUUCUUUCUCCAGAGCACUGGCCCCGGGCUCCAGAGAGAAACCUGUUAGGAAACCCUGCCCAGACUUGCUUGCCAUCUUCUGCCAUCUGAUUGGCUGGAUGAGGAUAGCUGCUUCAGUGGAAGAUGCUAGAGAAAGAGAUUGGGCAGGCCUGUGCGUUGAGAAGUUGAAAAGAGGGACACAUUGGAAGUGAAGCCCUAUGCUCCAGUCACUCUUAGAUGAGCGCCACCUGGGUCGUAAAUUGCCUAAGAGAUGACUAUUAGGGCAGGUUGGGGUUUUGUGGCAGAACCUUGGUGCUUGUUCCUAGACAGGCUCUACUCCUGUGCUAGGAAAAGACAGUUGGGUUUGGGCUGGACUCUCUGUUUUGGACUUGAGGUCUGUAAGAGAGGAGCCUUGCCUUUAAUUUGUAUACUUUGUGAUUUGGUAUUGGAGUUUGUGGAGCAUAAGUACUGUCUGUUGUGAUUUAUAAAAAAAGGAAUCGGGAUGUUUGAUAGAGCCAGGUAUGCUUAGAAGGAAUGCCAACAUUGUCAAGGCUUGUCCUGGUGGCUUGUGCUUUUUUUUUUUUAAUAUAUUUUAUGUGCACUAUUACCUGUAUGUUUGUGUGUUCGAGGGCAUCCAGGUCCCCUGGAACUGGAGUUUCAGGCAAUCAUAAGCUGGCAUGUGGGUGCUGGGAGUUGAACCCAUUGGAAGAGCAUCUAGUACUCUUAAUUUCGCCAGUCCCAGCUUGUGCUUCUAAAAGAGGUUCUUCAUGUUGGCUUAGAGUGUACAGGAUAUUAAAAAUGCUGAUAUGAAGUGUUUGUCUUACAAUGACCUCACCCACUGAAGUAUUUCCUGAACUCUGGGCUCUGGGGUGAUGCUGUACCUCUGAUGGCAGUCCCAGCCCCUCUCUACUUGGAUUUGUACAGUCAUCACAAGCAGUCUAGGUGCUGUGGUGCGUGACUGUCAAGGCCAGCUGUGGCCACAUGGUGAGACUGUCUCCAAAAAUAAAGGAAAGAAAGAAAGAAAAAGUGGUCUAGGAGCCAGAUGUAGUGGCUCAUGCCUGUAAUCCCAAUACCAGGAGCUAGCCAGGAGUUUUGGGCUAACCUGGGCUACAGUGUGAGACUCUGAACUUAAAACAAGUCAUCUGUAACUUCAGUGCAGGACUCACCAGAAUGCUUUGACCCAGUGGGUCUGUCUGUUCAGGUUCAGAACAACUGUGCUUACAGAUGGAGGUGCAUAUCUGAUCAGCCCACCUGUAGCCCAGGGAUCCUAGCUGGGUCAGGAACACGCAGUAAAUCCUAGGGUAGUCACAGCUUUGCAGAUAAAAUGGGCAGCCUGAGCUAAGUCUAAAUAGCAAGAACUCAUGGGAGGUCUGCUUGAAGCCUGGCAGAAGCUGUAGCAGGGAUGUGCUCUGGCAAGAAUCUUACUCUUGUCUAGAGGUGGUUGGAGGUUCCGCCUCAGAGUGAAGACUGAGCUGAAAACGAGAGACUAGGCUAGUGCUAGUCCAGCUGGGAGAUUUUACCCACAAGCCUAAUGGAAGCCUGAAGCUGGGGUCAAAUAUGGAACCUCUGAGAAGCAACUCAGUGUGAAAUACCCAUUGCUCUGCUAGAUUCUUGUUCACAGGGGUCAUGUUCUUGUGAUCACACACCCCUAAAUCCCUGUGCUCUGUGGGUUUGGGAGUCUCUUGAGUAUUGUUUCAUGUGAUUUUAUUUUUAAAGUAAUAUUAAAAAGGAUGUGCAGAUU